rnacentral:rRNA from 1 species
AACGGCGAGUGAAGCGGCAAAAGCUCAAAUUUGAAAUCUGGCUCCUUUGGGGCCCGAGUUGUAAUUUGCAGAGGAUGCUUCGGGCGUGGCCGCGGUCUAAGUCCCCUGGAACGGGGCGUCGCAGAGGGUGAGAAUCCCGUCUUCGGCCGGCCGGCUUCGCCCAUGUGAAGCUCCUUCGACGAGUCGAGUUGUUUGGGAAUGCAGCUCUAAAUGGGUGGUAAAUUUCAUCUAAAGCUAAAUAUUGGUCGGAGACCGAUAGCGCACAAGUAGAGUGAUCGAAAGAUGAAAAGCACUUUGAAAAGAGAGUUAAACAGCAUGUGAAAUUGUUGAAAGGGAAGCGCUUGCGACCAGAGUCGGCCGUGGGGGUUCAGCGGGCAUUCGUUGCCCGUGCACUCCCCCACGGGCGGGCCAGCGUCGGUUUCGACGGCCGGUCAAAGGCCCCCGGAAUGUGUCGCCUCUCGGGGCGUCUUAUAGCCGGGGGUGCAAUGCGGCCAGUCGGGACCGAGGAACGCGCUUCGGCACGGACGCUGGCUUAAUGGUCGUAAGCGACCCGUCUUGAAACACGGACCAAGGAGUCUAACAUCCACGCGAGUGUUCGGGUGUCAAACCCGUCCGCGCAGUGAAAGCGAACGGAGGUGGGAACCCUUAAGGGUGCACCAUCGACCGAUCCUGAAGUCUUCGGAUGGAUUUGAGUAAGAGCGUGGCUGUUGGGACCCGAAAGAUGGUGAACUAUGCCUGAAUAGGGGUGAAGCCAGAGGAAACUCUGGUGGAGGCUCGCAGCGGUUCUGACGUGCAAAUCGAUCGUCGAAUUU